UACGUAGGGUGCGAGCGUUGUCCGGAAUUAUCGGGCGUAAAGAGCUUGUAGGCGGUUUGUCGCGUCUGCUGUGAAAAUCCGGGGCUCAACCCCGGACUUGCAGUGGGUACGGGCAGACUAGAGUGUGGUAGGGGAGACUGGAAUUCCUGGUGUAGCGGUGAAAUGCGCAGAUAUCAGGAGGAACACCGAUGGCGAAGGCAGCUCGCUGGGACGGUACUGACGCUGAGACGCGAAAGCAUGGGGAGCAAACAGG
rnacentral:rRNA from 1 species